rnacentral:rRNA from 1 species
CCUACGGGAGGCAGCAGUAAGGAAUAUUGGUCAAUGGGCGAAAGCCUGAACCAGCCAUGCCGCGUGCAGGAAGACAGCCCUAUGGGUCGUAAACUGCUUUUGUACGGGAAAAAACCUCUGGUUUCGCAUCAGAGCUGAUGGUACCGUAAGAAUAAGGAUCGGCUAACUCCGUGCCAGCAGCCGCGGUAAUACGGAGGAUCCAAGCGUUAUCCGGAUUUAUUGGGUUUAAAGGGUACGCAGGCGGAAUGAUUAGUCAGUGGUGAAAUCCUAGAGCUUAACUCUAGAACUGCCAUUGAUACUGUCAUUCUUGAGUAUAAUUGAUGUGGGCGGAAUGUGUCAUGUAGCGGUGAAAUGCUUAGAUAUGACACAGAACACCGAUCGCGAAGGCAGCUCACAAAGCUAUAACUGACGCUCAGGCACGAAAGCGUGGGGAUCAAACAGGAUUAGAUACCCUGGUAGUCCACGCCGUAAACGAUGAUUACUCGAUGUUGGCGAUACACUGUCAGCGUCUGAACGAAAGUAUUAAGUAAUCCACCUGGGGAGUACGGUCGCAAGACUGAAACUCAAAGGAAUUGACGG